rnacentral:rRNA from 1 species
CAGGGAUUGCCCUAGUAACGGCGAGUGAAGCGGCAACAGCUCAAAUUUGAAAUCUGGCUUCGGCCCGAGUUGUAAUUUGCAGAGGAUGUUUCUGGCGCGGUGCCUUCCGAGUUCCCUGGAACGGGACGCCACAGAGGGUGAGAGCCCCGUAUGGUUGGACACCAAGCCUGUGUGAAACUCCUUCGACGAGUCGAGUAGUUUGGGAAUGCUGCUCAAAAUGGGAGGUAAAUCUCUUCUAAAGCUAAAUACCGGCCAGAGACCGAUAGCGCACAAGUAGAGUGAUCGAAAGAUGAAAAGCACCUUGAAAAGGGGGUUAAACAGUACGUGAAAUUGUUGAAAGGGAAGCACUUGUGACCAGACUUGUGCCGGGCGGUUCAUCCGGGGUUCUCCCCGGUGCACUCCGCCCGGUAUAGGCCAGCAUCGGUUCUCUCUGGGGGAUAAGAACGGUGGGAACGUGGCCCUCCCUCGGGAGGGUGUUAUAGCCCGCCGUACGAUACCCUGGAGGGGACCGAGGUUCGCGCUCCGCAAGGAUGCUGGCGUAAUGGUCACCAGUGACCCGUCUUGAAACACGGACCAAGGAGUCGUCCAUUAGAGCGAGCGUUUGGGUGUCAAACCCGCACGCGUAAUGAAAGUGAAAUUAGGUGAGAGCUUCGGCGCAUCAUCGACCGAUCCUGAUGUUCUCGGAUGGAUUUGAGUAAGAGUUUUAACGGACGGACCCGAAAGACAGUGAACUAUGCUUGUAUAGGGUGAAGCCAGAGGAAACUCUGGUGGAGGCUCGCAGCGGUUCUGACGUGCAAAUCGAUCGUCAAAUAUGAGCAUGGGGGCGAAAGACUAAUCGAA